UACGAAGGGGGCUAGCGUUGUUCGGAAUUACUGGGCGUAAAGCGCGCGUAGGCGGCCCCGUAAGUCCGCUGUGAAAGUCAAAGGCUCAACCUUUGAAAGCCGGUGGAUACUGUGGGGCUAGAGUACGGAAGAGGCGAGUGGAAUUCCUGGUGUAGCGGUGGAAUGCGCAGAUAUCAGGAGGAACACCAAUAGCGAAGGCAGCUCGCUGGGACGUUACUGACACUGAGGCGCGAAAGCGUGGGGAGCGAACAGG
rnacentral:rRNA from 1 species